rnacentral:rRNA from 1 species
GACGAACGCUGGCGGCGUGCCUAAUACAUGCAAGUCGAGCGGACGGAUGGGAGCUUGCUCCCUGAAGUCAGCGGCGGACGGGUGAGUAACACGUGGGCAACCUGCCUGUAAGACUGGGAUAACUCCGGGAAACCGGGGCUAAUACCGGAUAACUCUUUUCCUCACAUGAGGAAAAGCUGAAAGAUGGUUUCGGCUAUCACUUACAGAUGGGCCCGCGGCGCAUUAGCUAGUUGGUGAGGUAACGGCUCACCAAGGCCACGAUGCGUAGCCGACCUGAGAGGGUGAUCGGCCACACUGGGACUGAGACACGGCCCAGACUCCUACGGGAGGCAGCAGUAGGGAAUCUUCCGCAAUGGACGAAAGUCUGACGGAGCAACGCCGCGUGAGUGAUGAAGGUUUUCGGAUCGUAAAACUCUGUUGUCAGGGAAGAACAAGUACCGGAGUAACUGCCGGUACCUUGACGGUACCUGACCAGAAAGCCACGGCUAACUACGUGCCAGCCGCCGCCGUAACAC